AACGAACGCUGGCGGCAGGCUUAACACAUGCAAGUCGAACGACCUCUUCGGAGGGAGUGGCAGACGGGUGAGUAACGCGUGGAAACGUGCCCUUCUCUACGGAAUAGCCCUUAGAAAUGAGGUGUAAUACCGUAUAAGCCCUUCGGGGGAAAGAUUUAUCGGUGAAGGAUCGGUCCGCGUUAGAUUAGUUUGUUGGUGGGGUAAUGGCCUACCAAGACUACGAUCUAUAGCUGAUCUGAGAGGAUGAUCAGCCACACUGGGACUGAGACACGGCCCAGACUCCUACGGGAGGCAGCAGUGGGGAAUCUUGGACAAUGGGCGCAAGCCUGAUCCAGCCAUGCCGCGUGAAUGAUGAAGGCCUUAGGGUUGUAAAAUUCUUUCGCCAGGGAUGAUAAUGACAGUACCUGGAUAAGAAGCCCCGGCUAACUUCGUGCCAGCCGCCGCCGUAACAC
rnacentral:rRNA from 1 species